CACGGGGGGAGCAAGCGUUGUUCGGAAUCACUGGGCGUAAAGGGCGUGUAGGCGGUCAUGUAAGUGGGAUGUGAAAGCCCUCGGCUCACCCGAGGAUCUGCAUCUCAAACUGCAUGGCUUGAGUAUGGGAGAGGAUGAGGGAAUUCCUGGUGUAGCGGUGAAAUGCGUAGAUAUCGGGAGGAACACCAGUGGCGAAGGCGACUACCUGGCCUGUUCUUGACGCUGAGGCGCGAAAGCUAGGGGAGCAAACGGAGA
rnacentral:rRNA from 1 species